AUUGAACGCUAGCGGGAUGCUUUACACAUGCAAGUCGAACGGCAGCGCGGACUUCGGUCUGGCGGCGAGUGGCGAACGGGUGAGUAAUGUAUCGGAACGUGCCCAGUAGCGGGGGAUAACUACGCGAAAGCGUAGCUAAUACCGCAUACGCCCUACGGGGGAAAGCAGGGGAUCGUAAGACCUUGCACUAUUGGAGCGGCCGAUUUCGGAUUAGCUAGUUGGUGAGGUAACGGCUCACCAAGGCGACGAUCCGUAGCUGGUUUGAGAGGACGACCAGCCACACUGGAACUGAGCCACGGCCCAGACUCCUACGGGAGGCAGCAGUGGGGAAUUUUGGACAAUGGGGGCAACCCUGAUCCAGCCAUCCCGCGUGUGCGAUGAAGGCCUUCGGGUUGUAAAGCACUUUUGGCAGGAAAGAAACGUCGCGGGCUAAUACCCCGUGGAACUGACGGUACCUGCAGAAUAAGCACCGGCUAACUACGUG
rnacentral:rRNA from 1 species